rnacentral:rRNA from 1 species
GUCUUUUUGAUUUAUAUAUAAAGUCUGACCUGCCCACUGAAAAUUUUAAAUGGCUGCAGUAAUUUGACUGUACAAAGGUAGCAUAAUCAUUAGUUUUUUAAUUAAAAGCUUGUAUGAAAGGUUGGACGAAGUAAAAUCUGUCUCUUUUUAAUAUAAUUAGAAUUUAAUUUUUAAGUAAAAAAGCUUAAAUUUUUAUAAAAGACGAGAAGACCCUAUAGAGUUUAAUAAUUUUAAUAAAAUAUUUAAUUAAGAUUUAUUAAUUUUAUUUAAUUAAAAUUAUUUUAUUGGGGUAAUAAAAAGAUUAAAAAAAUUCUUUUUUUUUAAUACAUUAAUUUAUGAAUAUAUGAUCCAUUUGUAGUGAUUAGAAGAUUAAAUUACCUUAGGGAUAACAGCGUAAUUUUUUUAAAGAGUUCUUAUCGAUAAAAAAGUUUGCGACCUCGAUGUUGGAUUAAAGAUUAAUUUAGGUGUAGAAGUUUAAAUUUUUGGUCUGUUCGACCAUUAAAUCUUUACAUGAUCUGAGUUCAAACCGGUGUAAGCCAGGUUGGUUUCUAUCUUUAUUAAUUUUUUAUAUUUUAGUACGAAAGGACCAAAUAUAAAAUAUAUAAAUAUUUUUAUUUUGAAUAUUAUU